UACGUAGGGUGCAAGCGUUGUCCGGAAUUAUUGGGCGUAAAGAGCUCGUAGGCGGCCUGUCGCGUCGGCUGUGAAAACCCGAGGCUCAACCUCGGGCCUGCAGUCGAUACGGGCAGGUUAGAGUUCGGUAGGGGAGACUGGAAUUCCUGGUGUAGCGGUGAAAUGCGCAGAUAUCAGGAGGAACACCGGUGGCGAAGGCGGGUCUCUGGGCCGAAACUGACGCUGAGGAGCGAAAGCGUGGGGAGCGAACAGG
rnacentral:rRNA from 1 species